GAAAGUGUAAAGACUUUACCAUUUGAGCUACUACUCACUCUUGUUAUGUUUUCACUCUAAAUAUUAUUUAUUCUAAUGUGAUUUUCAUCCUAGGUUGCUGAAAAUAAAAAGAGAAAAAUGGAAUAGGUAUGGUUUAAACCUUGGACCUCUAAGAAAUAUAUAAGCUAUUUAACCAUCAAGCCUAAAGUUUAUUUCUUAAUUAUUUAUUACAACUAACCUCCUA
rnacentral:lncRNA from 1 species